rnacentral:rRNA from 1 species
UGGCGGACGGGUGAGUAACGCGUGGAUAACCUGCCUUUCACAGGGGGAUAACAGCUGGAAACGGCUGCUAAUACCGCAUGAGCCUCUUUUAUCGCAUGACGGGAGAGGGAAAGAGAAAUCGGUGAGAGAUGGAUCCGCGUCCGAUUAGCUAGUUGGAGGGGUAACAGCCCACCAAGGCGACGAUCGGUAGCCGACCUGAGAGGGUGGACGGCCACAUUGGGACUGAGACACGGCCCAAACUCCUACGGAAGGCAGCAG